AAAAAAAGCAGCCGUGCUCUCUCGAAAAAAAAUCCCCAAUCUCCGUUAACCGGCUCUAACCCUAGACACAGAGCGCCCGUGCGCUGCCGCUGCGGCGAGGGAGGAGCCUCUGCCGGCGAAGCGGGGCCUCGCGACUCGCGGGCUCCAGUGAGGCGACGCGAGGCGGCCUUCGGUGGCGAAGGAUUCGGUACCUAGGUCUCCUUGGGAGCCCAGAUUUUGCUACUAUGGCUUCUGAGAAAAUCAAACCAAAGAAGCAAAGAAAUGAGGAAUGCAUUAUAAACAGUCUCCCAGAAGACCUCAUUGAGCGGAUAUUUUUGAGGCUUCCAGUGAGCACUUUGUUGAGGUGCGUCAGUGUCUGCAAGCACUGGCACAACUCCAUCCGUGAUCCACAGUUUGUCGUAUCACACCUUCAGUGUGCGCCCUGAGAUGUCCUUCUGUUCUUCCAGCAAGAGUCGGUCUCAGGCGAGCCCUACCCUAGUGAUGCUAUCCUAAUUGACGAAGCCUGGUCGCCAUCGACAUGUGCGGUGCCAGUGAUUGGGCCUGAUGAUUUCCUUUUUGGUUCAUGCAAUGGACUCCUUGGCUUAUACACAAAGACAUCAACUAUCAAGGUAGCUAACCUUGCAACUGGUGAAUGUCUCCAUCUUGAGAAACCUGCGAAGAAUGUUAAAGGUGAUCACUUCUCUUUCUACAGCUUUGGAUAUCAUCCCGUGACAAAAGAAUACAAGAUUACACACUUCCUUGGUGAUUGUGUUGAUGGUCGCCCCCAUAAUAAAGACAGGUUCAGCACCAUUCAAGUUUACACUCUUGGUGAUGAGAAAUGGAAAGAUAUCCGAACCCCAGAAGCUCUUAGCUUGAUCAUUGUGAGAAACUCUGGAGUUGUCAAUGUUGAUGGCAAAAUGUAUUGGUUAACUGAAGACAUGUUAGCUAGCUGGCAGCAUGCAGUUAUGUCCUUUGAUCUCAGGGAAGAAAGUUUUGCGAAGAUACAACUGCCGGCAGAACGUGAAGAUCAUGAUCGUUAUGGUCCUCGUAAGUUCUGGAUCAGAGAUAUAGAUGGGAAAAUAUGUAUAGUAACUGCUCAAACAAGUCGUUAUGAUCCCAGAGCUCUUCUUGGUGAGUUGCAGAUAUGGACACUUGACAACACGGUAGAGCAACAAAGGUGGAGUCAGAAGUACAAUAUUAAGCACACACCAAAUUAUAUUCCAGGGCCACAUUUUGUCCACAGGGAUAGGAUCCUCGCACAACUUUGCAGCAAUAAUGUAUGUUCGUGUGAGUUGUUUGGUGAGAACUUUGAUGUUAACCAGAGUAAGUGGGUACACCUGUUAGAUUUCAGUCCCCGCAAGCCGUACAACAUGCAAUCCUACAUUUGUGUGAAGUCACUUGUACGUUUAGAUGUCUACAAGAAGGCAGGCAUUGUACGUAGACCAAAACAGCGGGAAGGCUGGGAAUUGAAGAAGUGGGAGACAUGGAAGUGUAUGCUUGGCAAGGAUGCGGAUAUGCGGAGCCAGAUCCACAAAUUUGAGCAUGACUUACUUGUAUGUGUGCCAGACUGUUGUUAUUAAGCCUUGAUGAAUACUUAUUAUUAUUUUAAGAUUUGACAAACUGCUAAUUUGCUACUCCCUCCGUCCCAUAAUGUAAGACGUUUUUUGACACUACACUAGUGCCAAAAAACGUCUUACAUUAUGGGACGGAGGGAGUAUUUUGUAGGAACUCGCAGAAACAUCGAGUAAAAUGUGCAAGUUUUUGCAGAAUAAGCAAUAUAACAUUGCAGAACAUGUACUCACGGAACUCAAUCAGGUGUUGCAGCGCAAACCAGAUAAUCCAGAUCAGCCAUUGUCCAUCCGGAGGCUUAAUUGGGUGGGGAGCAGAAUUGGGAGCAGCAGAAGUUAAUGGCUCGUUUAAGUAAGAUAAAACACAUGAUUAAGGUCGUGAAGCAGGCAAUGGAUAACAUCUCUGGUAUUACAAUGUUGGAUCAGGGUACAUCAGCUGCUGGCGUUUCUUCCAGUGACGGUUAUGACAAGAAGGAAGAGAGCCUCUAGCAUUAAGCUUAGCUUUCUGGGGCACUUCGUUUCGUCUCGAGUGAUUCUGCAACUUGUACAAGGAGACUCCUCAUCCCUUGGAUUGGAUGGCCUCUUUUGCUCCAUCAGUUGCUUGUCAUUAUACAUUGCACUUUCAGGUUUCUAGUUUCUACAAUAUGUCCAGCGCACAAUGCUGCUUGGCCCAAGAAAUCCGACAGCAACACGGCCCUUGCCUUAAGCAGAAACAAUGGUGUGAUUUUCUGAACAGAUUUUAAGCAGUCUGCCAUGUUUUAAAUACUUGAAAUGCAUUACCAGACUUCAUGCUGGUUUUAUGUGCUGCUGUUGUCUUAGAG
rnacentral:rRNA from 1 species